UACAGAGGUCCCAAGCGUUGUUCGGAAUUACUGGGCGUAAAGGGCGCGUAGGUGGCCUUCUUAGUCGGACGUGAAAUCCCCAGGCUUAACCUGGGAACUGCGUCUGAUACUGGAAGGCUUGAGUUCGGGAGAGGAAUGUGGAAUUCCAGGUGUAGCGGUGAAAUGCGUAGAUAUCAGGAGGAACACCAAUUGCGAAGGCAGCUCGCUGGGACGUUACUGACGCUGAGACGCGAAAGCGUGGGGAGCAAACAGG
rnacentral:rRNA from 1 species